UACGUAGGGUGCGAGCGUUGUCCGGAAUUAUUGGGCGUAAAGGGCUCGUAGGCGGUUUGUCGCGUCGGGAGUGAAAUCCACUGGCUUAACUGGUGGCUUGCUUUCGAUACGGGCAGACUGGAGGUAUGCAGGGGAGAACGGAAUUCCUGGUGUAGCGGUGAAAUGCGCAGAUAUCAGGAGGAACACCGGUGGCGAAGGCGGUUCUCUGGGCAUGUCCUGACGCUGAAGAGCGAAAGUGUGGGGAGCGAACAGG
rnacentral:rRNA from 1 species